rnacentral:misc_RNA from 1 species
GCGUGAGAAAUUAUUGUCUUCAGCCUCGUUUGUUGAAAGUGACAAAAAAGCCAUACACCACUUGCAAAACCGAUUGGCUAAUUCUUUUCGCCAUGGCCUUCAUACAAUUUCUCUGCAACCCAAUAAUCUUUACGGCUUUAGCUCUAAUCCCAGCUCUUUUCAUAUUCCAAAUGUUCACUAGGAAGUUAAUGAAGAAAGAAAACCAGAGAGAGAAGAAGUACCAUCCAAUUGGUGGCACAGUGUUUAACCAGCUCCUCAACUUCAAUAGGUUGCACCAUUACAUGACUGAUCUUGCUGCCAAGUACAGGACUUACAGGCUCCUAGGCCCUUUCAGAAAUGAGAUUUACACUUCUGACCCAUCAAAUGUUGAGUACAUACUCAAA